rnacentral:rRNA from 1 species
GACGAACGCUGGCGGCGUGCUUAACACAUGCAAGUCGAGCGGUAAGGCCUUUCGGGGUACACGAGCGGCGAACGGGUGAGUAACACGUGGGUGAUCUGCCCUGCACUUCGGGAUAAGCCUGGGAAACUGGGUCUAAUACCGGAUAUGACCUACUAUCGCAUGGUGGGUGGUGGAAAGAUUUAUCGGUGCAGGAUGGGCCCGCGGCCUAUCAGCUUGUUGGUGGGGUAAUGGCCUACCAAGGCGACGACGGGUAGCCGACCUGAGAGGGUGACCGGCCACACUGGGACUGAGACACGGCCCAGACUCCUACGGGAGGCAGCAGUGGGGAAUAUUGCACAAUGGGCGAAAGCCUGAUGCAGCGACGCCGCGUGAGGGAUGACGGCCUUCGGGUUGUAAACCUCUUUCAGCAGGGACGAAGCGCAAGUGACGGUACCUGCAGAAGAAGCACCGGCUAACUACGUG